UACGGAGGGGGCUAGCGUUGUUCGGAAUUACUGGGCGUAAAGCGCACGUAGGCGGCUUUUCAAGUCAGGGGUGAAAGCCCGGGGCUCAACCCCGGAAUUGCCUUUGAGACUGGAUCGCUUGAAUCCGGGAGAGGUGAGUGGAAUUCCGAGUGUAGAGGUGAAAUUCGUAGAUAUUCGGAAGAACACCAGUGGCGAAGGCGGCUCACUGGACCGGUAUUGACGCUGAGGUGCGAAAGCGUGGGGAGCAAACAGG
rnacentral:rRNA from 1 species